UACGUAGGUGGCAAGCGUUGUCCGGAAUUAUUGGGCGUAAAGCGCGCGCAGGCGGUCCCUUAAGCCUGAUGUGAAAGCCCACGGCUCAACCGUGGAGGGUCAUUGGAAACUGGGGGACUUGAGUACAGAAGAGGAAAGCGGAAUUCCACGUGUAGCGGUGAAAUGCGUAGAGAUGUGGAGGAACACCAGUGGCGAAGGCGGCUUUCUGGUCUGUAACUGACGCUGAGGAGCGAAAGCGUGGGGAGCAAACAGG
rnacentral:rRNA from 1 species